GCAUCAAAUAUUCUUCUUCUGUGUGCUCACUUCUGAACUUUUAGAGAACAAUAUCUCUUUUUAGGAUUCUUUCCAGAGUCUUAAAAGACAACCUUGUUUGUCUUGAUUCAAGAUAUCCAAAUCCAACACUCAACUUGACGGAAGAAGAUAGGAGAGGUAAACACGAGUGAUUGAAAGGGAAUGAUUUUUUUUUUCAUUAAC
rnacentral:lncRNA from 1 species